AGAUAAGUUGGAAGUGAAAUCCUAUGGCUUAACCAUAGAACUGCUUCCAAAACUGUCUAUCUAGAAUAUGGGAGAGGUAGAUGGAAUUUCUGGUGUAGGGGUAAAAUCCGUAGAGAUCAGAAGGAAUACCGAUUGCGAAGGCGAUCUACUGGAACAUUAUUGACGCUCAGAUGCGAAAGCGUGGGGAGCAAACAGGAUUAGAUACCCUGGUAGUCCACGCCCUAAACGAUGCACACUAGUUGUUGCCUUGCUAGACAAGGCAGUAAUGCAGUUAACACAGUAAGUGUGCCGCCUGGGGAGUACGGUCGCAAGAUUAAAACUCAAAGGAAUAGACGGGGACCCGCACAAGCGGUGGAGCAUGUGGUUUAAUUCGACGAUACGCGAAGAACCUUACCUGGCCUUGACAUAGAGAGAACUUACUAGAGAUAGUUUGGUGCUAGCUUGCUAGAACUUUCGUACAGGUGCUGCACGGCUGUCGUCAGCUCGUGUCGUGAGAUGUUGGGUUAAGUCCCGCAACGAGCGCAACCCUCGUGUUUAGUUAAUAACGGUUCGGCCGAUGACUCUAAACAGACUGCCUGGGUAACCAGGAGGAAGGUGAGGACGACGUCAAGUCAUCAUGGCCCUUACGGCCAGGGCUACACACGUGCUACAAUGGGGUAUACAAAGAGCCGCGAUACCGCAAGGUGGAGCAAAUCUCAUAAAAUAU
rnacentral:rRNA from 1 species